rnacentral:rRNA from 1 species
UCGAGAAUCUUCGGCAAUGAGCGCAAGCUCGACCGAGCGACGCCGCGUGCGGGAUGAAGGCCCUCGGGUUGUAAACCGCUGUCAGUAGGGAGGAAAUGCAUGAGGGUUCUCUCUCAUGUUUGACCGAUCUGCAGAGGAAGUACGGGCUAAGUUCGUGCCAGCAGCCGCGGUAAGACGAACCGUACGAACGUUAUUCGGAAUCACUGGGCUUAAAGAGUGCGUAGGCGGCUUUGUAGGUGGGGUGUGAAAUCCCUCGGCUCAACCGAGGAACUGCGCUCCAAACCACAAGGCUUGAGGGAGAUAGAGGUGAGCGGAACUGAUGGUGGAGCGGUGAAAUGCGUUGAUAUCAUCAGGAACACCGGUGGCGAAAGCGGCUCACUGGGUCUCUUCUGACGCUGAGGCACGAAAGCUAGGGUAGCGAACGGGAUUAGAUACCCCCGUAGUCC